UUGUUGAGUCACUCUUCACGUCCUCCCUGAAGGAAGCCGGCGGCCUGAAGCACCGCGGGCAGGUCACCACCACCAGCCUGCAGGCCAGGGACCACAAACACCUCUGGAUGGGACUCUGGAAUGGCAGGCUUCACUGUGGCUUCACUAAGAUCAACCGCACGUGCAAGACAUGCCAGGCUCUGAUGUCCAGUGUGGAGGAGAUCGGAAUUCCUAUCAUGAGGGAGACACACAACCGCACCACACCCUCACCGGACGCCAGCAAGCUAUUGCCAUCCUGUAGUCGCCACACCUCCAGGCUGGUCGUGGCUUGGGGGGGAACCGUACAUUUUCUCCUCAGUUCUGUGUCUUAAUUUUAGGGAGCCACCAUCAAGCAGGACGACCACUCCGGAGCCAUCAUCAUCACCCGCAUCAUGCAUGGCUGAUUGCUCCGGCCUCAUCCAUGCUGCCGACGAGGUGCAGGGGUCAACACCUUCAAUGUGGAGGGCAAGACACCGGCGGAUGUCCACAAGAUGCUGGUGCAGGCGGAGGGCACCAUGACCUUCAGGCUGCUCCCGGCCAGCAGCUCGGUGCACCUCAGGGAGUGCAAGGUGAGGGUGCACGCCUACUUCCACUAUGACCCCAAGGAGGACAACAAGCACAUUCCCUGCAAGGAAGCCAGGCUGCCCUUCAACAAGCUGGACAUCCUGCACAUUGUGACCCAGGAUGACCCCUACUGACAGUGUUUGACCGUGUGGACGGACCCUGACGGUUGCUGUGAUGUGCAGGUGACGGCUUGGUGACGCAGGGCAUGGAGGACACAGCGCUGCAGUGGCUCAGCGAACGCCUCGGCCACCCAGACAACUUCACUUCUGUGAUAUUCCUGCCCAGACCAAGGUAUCAGCUGUUACACAUUAAGGAAUGUUUUUUAUAUGGGGGUGUGCUUUUUGUUGUGUGUUGAGAUGGGAGGAGAAGGUAUGCAAAGGUCAUGCAGGGAAGGGAGCAAAUGGAGACUUUUGUUGGGUCUCAUUUUCCUUACUUAGUUUUUUCCUGUUAGUAUUGCAUAUUAGUUGGAAUGAUGUGGACAAACUAGCUAAAACGCUCUCUUCGUAAUGGCAGACCUUGCAUUAGUAUAACCAGUGGCCCAGCAAGUGAAGGCAAGUGAAGAGCUACUUGGGGUGUGGUGAGGCUGUUAGGUGAGGCUGAUGGCGGCAGUGCUUCAUCUGUGCUCUCAAUAGAAUGGCGACCCAGCAAGUGUAGGAAUUGAAUGGUCAGGCCACACAAAAAUUGGCUGGAGAGGUGAAAUAGAAUCUUGCCUGGAGUGAGGUGAGCUACACUGAUGGACAGACAGAGGUGGGAAACCAUGUGCUGAAGUACAACCCUGAGUGAUAUAUAAUGAGAUGGACGUGAAAUUAUUACCUUAGCCAGGGCAGGAUGGAUCACACAAGACCAGACGGAGGGAGAUAUGGAGAACUAGGAGUCAUAGAAGCCAGGGCAGACAGCAGCCAAGGUGGAGGGAUGAAAUAAGAACCUUAGCCAGGGCAGGAUGCAUCACACAAGACCAGACAGAGAGAGAUAUGGAGAACUAGGAGUCAUAGAAGCCAGGACAGACAGCAGCCAAGGUGGAGGGAUGAAAUAAGAACCUUAGCCAGGGCAGGAUGCAUCACACAAGACCAGACGGAGAGAGAUAUGGAGAACUAGGAGUCAUAGAAGCCAGGACAGACAGGGAACCAAGUGUAGCGAUGACAUUAGAACCGUCAGCAGAGCAGGAUGGAAAACACUAGCAUCAGGGAGAGAGAACUGAAGCAUGCUAGGAAAGGCUUUUUGUGCAGUGGACUAGUACUGGCUGAUAAUAAUAAUAAUAAUAAUAAUAAUAAUAACAAUAGCUGAUAAUGAUAUUAGAUAACAGUAAUGACUGGGGGAUUGGUCUCCAGAGCAUCCCAGUUUUCCUUCCUGUGUUUUCAAGCCUUUGUACAAACUUGCUAUGGCAGACUAGAAAGUUUUUUGAGUAUUCAUUAUCAUCAUCAUCAUCAUCGUUGUUGUAAGUCAUUAGUAAUCCUGUGCAGGAAAAGUGUUUCCCUGAAGCUUUCCUCCCCUGUGUCUGGUGCUGAGGUGCCCCCUCCCAGCCACUCACUUCAUGUGU